GAUCCGUGAUGAAGGCACGACCUUGUGUAUCCCUUCAAUCUCUUUCAAAGCUUCAUAUAGUGUCUCCUUAUGUCCUUGUUUGAAGCUUGUGAUUUCAUUUCUAAUUCA
rfam:Arabis alpina cultivar Pajares scaff_48501_1_contig_12, whole genome shotgun sequence.